AUGGAAAACUACUUCUCCGAGGUACCUACGUACCCUCCUCGUCUCUUCCGCAGAAGGUACCGAAUGCGGCAUAGUUUGUUUGUGAAGAUUGUCACCGGUUGUGAGGCCGCCUCAUAUUACUUUAAACGUCGUAGAUCCGCCGCCGGUAUCAUGGGGUUUAGUGCAGAUCAAAAGAUAUCGGCGGCAAUGCGGGUACUCGCUUAUGGCAUACCCGCGGAUUAUACCGACGAUUAUUGUUUUAUGCCAAUUGUGAUGGAAUUUGUGAUAUGCCAUAUGAUGAAAUGUGUGCUAUAUGAAAUGACAACUUUAAAGAUUGGGGUUGAGGCAAAGACUAGAACCCUCAAAUCCAACCCUUAA
rnacentral:rRNA from 1 species